rnacentral:rRNA from 1 species
GACGAACGCUGGCGGCGUGCUUAACACAUGCAAGUCGAACGAUGAAGCCCAGCUUGCUGGGUGGAAGAGUGGCGAACGGGUGAGUAACACGUGAGUAACCUGCCUAUCACUCUGGGAUAAGCGCUGGAAACGGCGUCUAAUACUGGAUACGACCUAUCACCGCAUGGUGUGUGGGUGGAAAGAUUUAUCGGUGGGAGAUGGACUCGCGGCCUAUCAGCUUGUUGGUGAGGUAAUGGCUCACCAAGGCGACGACGGGUAGCCGGCCUGAGAGGGUGACCGGCCACACUGGGACUGAGACACGGCACAGCCGCCUACGGGCGGCAGCAGUGGGGAAUAUUGCACAAUGGGCGCCAGCCUGAUGCAGCAACGCCGCGUGGGGGACGACGGCCUUCGGGUUGUAAACCUCUUUUAGUAGGGAAGAAGCGAAAGUGACGGUACCUGCAGAAAAAGCACCGGCUAACUACGUGCCAGCCGCCGCCGUAA